ACGGAUAUAGGAAGCAGCGGUGUGGCCUUUGAAGCCAUCAUAAAUUCCAACGAAUAGUGCGUCAUGGCUUACAUCGUCGUAGUUGUGAUCUUCCAUAUCCUUAUUUGACUAACAGAAGCCAUGGAGAAUUCCCCAUGGCAAUGCCUUUCAUUUUUGGGAGAUUUUGGUAAAGGGUCAGCGUUAAAUGUUUCUUGAUAACAAGAACACUAAUAACACUAUCAAUCUUCUCAUUUCUUGAUAACAAUAUACAAAAAUUAGCAAAACAAGAACACUAAUAACACUAUCAAUCUUCUCAUUUCUUGAUAACAAUAUACAAAAUUUAGCAAAACAAGAACACUAAUAACACUAUCAAUCUUCUCAUUUCUUGAUAACAAUAUACAAAAAUUAGCAAAACAAGAACACUAAUAACACUAUCAAUCUUCUCAUUUCUUAAUAACAAUUUACAAAAUUUAGCAAAACAAGAACACUAAUAACACUAUCAAUCUUUUCAUUUCUUCAUAACAAUAUACAGGUAAGUAUGCUAAGAAAAAAGAAGCAAAAAAAUAACUCACGCAAUAGAGUCCUAAAGAUGUGCGUACGGAUAUAGGAAGCAGCGGUGUGGCCUUUGAAGCCAUCAUAAAUUCCAACGAACUGUGCGUCAUGGCUUACAUCGUCCUAGUUGUGACCUUCCAUAUCCUUAUUUAACUAACAGAAGCCAUGGAGAAUUCCCCAUGGCAAUGCCUUUCAUUUUUGGGAGAUUUUGAUAAAGGGCCAGCGUUAAAUGUUUCUUGAUAACAAGAACACUAAUAACACUAUCAAUCUUCUCAUUUCUUGAUAACAAUAUACAAAAUUUAGCAAAACAAGAACACUAAUAACACUAUCAAUCUUCUCAUUUCUUGAUAACAAUAUACAAAAUUUAGCAAAACAAGAACACUAAUAACACUAUCAAUCUUCUCAUUUCUUGAUAACAAUAUACAAAAUUUAGCAAAACAAGAACACUAAUAACACUAUCAAUCUUCUCAUUUCUUGAUAACAAUAUACAAAAUUUAGCAAAACAAGAACACUAAUAACACUAUCAAUCUUCUCAUUUCUUGAUAACAAUAUACAAAAUUUAGCAAAACAAGAACACUAAUAACACUAUCAAUCUUCUCAUUUCUUGAUAACAAUAUACAAAAUUUAGCAAAACAAGAACACUAAUAACACUAUCAAUCUUCUCAUUUCUUGAUAACAAUAUACAAAAUUUAGCAAAACAAGAACACUAAUAACACUAUCAAUCUUCUCAUUUCUUGAUAACAAUAUACAAAAUUUAGCAAAACAAGAACACUAAUAACACUAUCAAUCUUCUCAUUUCUUGAUAACAAUAUACAAAAUUUAGCAAAACAAGAACACUAAUAACACUAUCAAUCUUCUCAUUUCUUGAUAACAAUAUACAAAAUUUAGCAAAACAAGAACACUAAUAACACUAUCAAUCUUCUCAUUUCUUGAUAACAAUAUACAAAAUUUAGCAAAACAAGAACACUAAUAACACUAUCAAUCUUCUCAUUUCUUGAUAACAAUAUACAAAAUUUAGCAAAACAAGAACACUAAUAACACUAUCAAUCUUCUCAUUUCUUGAUAACAAUAUACAAAAUUUAGCAAAACAAGAACACUAAUAACACUAUCAAUCUUCUCAUUUCUUGAUAACAAUAUACAAAAUAGAGAGAUCAAAUACAAGAACACUAUAACACUAUCAAUCUCUCAUUUCUUGAUAACAUAUACAAAAUUUAGCAAACAAGAACACUAAUAACACUAUCAUCUUCUCAUUUCUUGAUAACAAUAUACAAAAUUUAGCAAACAAGAACACUAAUAACACUAUCAAUCUUCUCAUUUUCUGAUAACAAUAUACAAAAUUUAGCAAAACAAGAACACUAAUAACAUCUAUCAUCUCCUUAUUCUUGAUAACAAUAUACAAAAUUUAGCAAACAAGAACACUAAUAACAUUAUCAAUCUUCUCAUUUCUUGAUAACAAUAUACAAAAUUUAGCAAAACAAGAACACUAAUAACACUAUCAAUCUUCUCAUUUCUUGAUAACAAUACAAAAUUUAGCAAAAGAACAACUAUAACACUAUCAAUCUUUUCAUUUCUUGAUAACAUAUACAAAUUUAGCAAACAAGAACACUAAUAACACUAUCAUCUUCUAUUUUUGAUACAAAUAUAAAAAUUUAGCAAAACAAGAACACUAAUAACACUAUCAUCUUCUCAUUUCUUGAUAACAAUAUACAAAAUUUAGCAAACAAGAACACUAAAAACACUAUCAAUCUUCUCAUUUCUUGUAACAAUAUACAAAAUUUAGCAAAACAAGAACACUAAUAACACUAUCAAUCUUUCAUUUCUUGAUAACAUUUACAAAAUUUAGCAAAACAAGAACACUAAUAACACUAUCAUCUUUCUCAUUCUUGAUAACAAUAUACAAAUUUUAGCAAAACAAGAACACUAUAACACUAUCAAUCUUCUCAUUUCUUGAUAACAAUAUACAAAAUUUAGCAAACAAGAACACUAUAACACUAUCAAUCUUUUCAUUUCUUGAUAACAAUAUACAAAAUUUAGCAAAACAAGAACACUAAUAACACUAUCAUUCUUCUCAUUUCUUGAUAACAUAUACAAAAUUUAGCAAAACAAGAACACUAAUAACACUAUCAAUCUUCUCAUUUCUUGAAACAAUAUACAAAAUUUAGCAAACAAGAACACUAAUAAACUAUCAAUCUUCUCAUUUCUUGAUAACAAUAUACAAAAUUAGCAAAACAAGAACACAUAAUACACUAUCAAUCUUCUCAUUUCUUGAUAACAAUAUACAAAUUUAGCAAAACAACAACACUAAUAACACUAUCAAUCUUCUCAUUUCUUGAUAACAAUAUACAAAUUUAGCAAAACAAGAACACUAAUAACACUAUCAAUCUUCUCAUUUCUUGAUAACAAUAUACAAAAUUUAGAAAAACAAGAACACUAACAACAUUAUCAAUCUCCUUAUUUCUUGAUAACAAUAUACAAAAUUUAGCAAAACAAGAACACUAAAAACACUAUCAAUCUUAUCAUUUCUUGAUUACAAUAUACAAAAUUUAGCAAAACAAGAACACUACUAACACUAUCAAUCUUCUCAUUUCUUGAUAACAAUAUACAAAAUUUAGCAAAACAAGAACACUAAUAACACUAUCAAUCUUUUCAUUUCUUCAUAACAAUAUACAGGGAAGUAUGCUAAGAAAAAAGAAGCAAAAAAAUAACUCACGUAACAGAGUCCUAAAGAUGUGCGUACGGAUAUAGGAAGCAGCGGUGUGGCCUUUGAAGCCAUCAUAAAUUCCAACGAACAGUGCGUCAUGGCUUACAUCGUCCUAGUUGUGAUCUUCCAUAUCCUUAUUUUACUAACAGAAGCAAUGGAGAAUUCCCCAUGGCAAUGCCUUUCAUUUUUGGGAGAUUUUGGUAAAGGGUCAGCGUUAAAUGUUUCUUGAUAACAAGAACACUAAUAACACUAUCAAUCUUCUCAUUUCUUGAUAAUAAUAUACAAAAAUUAGCAAAACAAGAACACUUAUCAGACUAUCAACCUUCUCAUUUUUUGAUAACAAUAUACAAAAUUUAGCAAAACAAGAACACUAAUAACACUAUCAAUCUUCUCAUUUCUUGACAACAAUAUACAAAAUUUAGCAAAACAAGAACACUAAUAACACUAUCAAUCUUCUCAUUUCUUGAUAACAAUAUACAAAAUUUAGCAAAACAAGAACACUAAUAACACUAUCAAUCUUCUCAUUUCUUGAUAACAAUAUACAAAAUUUAGCAAAACAAGAACACUAGUAACACUAUCAAUCUUCUCAUUUUUUUGAUAACAAUAUACAAAAUUUAGCAAAACAAGAACACUAAUAACACUAUCAAUCUUCUCAUUUCUUGACAACAAUAUACAAAAUUUAGCGAAACAAGAACACUAAUAACACUAUCAAUAUUCUCAUUUCUUGAUAACAAUAUACAAAAUUAGCAAAACAAGAACACUAAUAACACUAUCAAUCUUCUAAUUUCUAGAUAACAAUAUACAAAAUUUUAGCAAAACAACAACACUAAUAACACUAUCAAUCUUCUCAUUUCUUGAUAACAAUAUACAAAUUUAGCAAAACAAGAACACUAAUAACACUAUCAAUCUUCUUAUUUCUUGAUAACAAUAUACAAAAUUUAGCAAAACAAGAACACUAACAACAUUAUCAAUCUCCUUAUUUCUUGAUAACAAUAUACAAAAUUUAGCAAAACAAGAACACUAAAAACACUAUCAAUCUUCUCAUUUCUUGAUAACAAUAUUAACAAAAUUUAGCAAAACAAGAAACACUAAUAACACUAUCAAUUUUCUCAUUUCUUGAUAACAAUAUACAAAUUUAGCAAAACAAGAACACUAAUAACACUAUCAAUCUUCUCAUUCUUGAUAACAAUAUACAAAAUUUAGCAAACAAGAACACUAAUAACACUAUCAAUCUUCUCAUUCUUGAUAACAAUAUACAAAUUUAGCAAAACAAGAACUACUAACACUAUCAAUCUUCUCAUUUCUUGAUAACAAUAUACAAAAUUUAGCAAAACAAGAACAUAAUAACACUAUCAAUCUUCUCAUUUCUUGAUAACAAUAUACAAAAUUAGCAAAACAAGAACAUAAUAACACUAUCAAUCUUCUAUUUCUGUAACAAUAUACAAAAUUUAGCAAAACAAAACACUAAUAACACUAUCAAUCUUCUCAUUUCUUGAUAACAAUAUACAAAUUUAGCAAAACAAGAACACUAAUAACACUAUCAAUCUUCUCAUUUCUUGAUACAAUACAACAAAUUUAGCAAACAAGAACACUAAAACACAUCAUCUCUUAUUUCUUGAUAACAUUACAAAAUUUAGCAAACAAGAACACUAAUAAACUAUCAAUCUUCUCAUUUCUGAUAACAAUAUACAAAUUUAGCAAAACAAGAACACUAUAACACUAUCAAUCUUCUCAUUUCUUAGAAACAAUAUACAAAAUUUAGCAAAACAAGAACACUAAUAACACUUCAAUCUUCUCAUUCUUGAUAACAAUAUACAAAAUUUAGCAAAACAAGAACCACUAAUAACACUAUCAAUCUUCUCAUUUCUUGAUAACAAUAUACAAAAUUUAGCAAAACAAGAACACUAUAACACUAUCAAUCUUCUCAUUUUUUUGAUAACAAUAUACAAAAUUUAGCACAAACAGAACACUAUCUAAUCUUCUCAUUUCUUGAAACAAUAUACAAAAUUUAGCAAAACAAGAACACUAAAACUAUCAAUUUCUCAUUUCUUGAUAACAAUAUACAAAAUUUAGCAAAACAAAGAAACACUAAUAACACUAUCAAUCUUCUCAUUUUCUGAUAACAAUAUACAAAAUUUAGCAAACAAAACACUAAUAACACUAUCAAUCUUCUCAUUUCUUGAUAACAUAUAACAAAUUUAGCAAAAACAAGAACACUAAUAACACUAUCAAUCUUCUAUUUCUUGAUAACAAUAUACAAAAUUUAGCAAAAAACAAGAACACUAACAACUAUCAAUCUCUUAUUUUCUUGAUAACAAUAUACAAAUUUUAGCAAAACAAGAACACUAAUAACACUAUCAAUCUUCUCAUUUCUUGAUAACAAUAUACAAAAUUUAGCAAAACAAGAACACUAAUAACACUAUCAAUCUUCUCAUUUCUUGUAACAAUUACAAAAUUUAGCAAACAAGAACACUAAUAACACUAUAAUCUUCUCAUUUCUAUAACAAUAUACAGUAGUAUUAAGAAAAAAGACGCAAAAAAAUAACUCACUAAUAACCCUAACGAAUGUGCGUACAUAUAGAAAGCAGCGUUCUUAACAUCUAAAUUCCACGAACAGUGCGUCAUGCUUACAUCGUCCUAGUUGUGAUCUUCAUAUCUUAUUUGACUAAAAAGCAUGGAGAAUUCCCAUGCAAUGCUUCUCAUUUUUGAAUUUUUAAAGGGUCAGCGUUAAAUGUUUCUUGAAACAAGAACACUAAUAACACUAUCAAUCUUCUCAUUUCUUGAUAACAAUAUACAAAAAUUAGCAAAACAAAAAACACUAAUAACACUAUCAACCUUCUCAUUUCUUGAUAACAAUUAUACAAUUUAGCAAACAAGACUAUACACUAUCAAUCUUCUCUUUUUGAUAACAAUAUACAAAUUUAGCAAACAAGAACACUAAUACACUAUCAAUCUUCUCAUUUCUUGAAACAAUAUACAAAAUUUAGCAAACAAGAAAAACUAAUAACAUAUCAAUCUUCUCAUUUCUUGAUAACAUAUACAAAAUUUAGCAAAACAAGAAACAUAAUAAACUAUCAAUCUUCUUUUCUUGAUAACAAUAUACAAAAUUUAGCAAAACAAGAACACUAAUAACACUAUCAAUCUUCUCAUUUCUUGAUAACAAUAUACAAAUUUAGCAAAAACAAGAACACUAAUAACACUAUCAUCUUCUCAUUUCUUGAUAACAAUAUACAAAUUUAGCAAAACAAGAACACUAAAACAUUAUCAAUCUCCUUAUUUCUUUAAACAAUAAUCAAAAUUUAGCAAACCAAGAACACUAAAAACACAAAUCAAUCUUCUCAUUUCUUGAUAACAAUAUACAAAAUUUAGAAAAACAAGAACACUAAUAACACUAUCAAUCUUCUCAUUUCUUGAUAACAAUAUACAAAAUUUAGCAAAACAAGAACACUAAUAACACUAUCAAUCUUCUCUUU
rnacentral:lncRNA from 1 species